UACGUAGGGGGCGAGCGUUGUCCGGAGUUACUGGGCGUAAAGGGCUCGUAGGCGGCCAACUAAGUCGGACGUGAAAUCCCUCGGCUUAACCGGGGAACUGCAUCCGAUACUGGAUGGCUUGAGUUCGGGAGAGGGAUGCGGAAUUCCAGGUGUAGCGGUGAAAUGCGUAGAUAUCAUGAGGAACAUCUGUGGCGAAGGCGAUUGUCUGGCUCGUUUCUGACGCUGAGACGCGAAAGCGUGGGGAGCAAACAGG
rnacentral:rRNA from 1 species